rnacentral:misc_RNA from 1 species
UGAUUGUAUAAAGCGUAUAUUAGAGGAAUCGAGGGUACCAUUUUUUUUUUUCCUUAAUUUAAAUUAUAGACAGUGGAUUAGGGAGGGGCUCAGUGUUUGUGUCCUUAACCGGCGGGCUAGUGACCGAGUGGCAAGGAUGCUUUAUUUUACUUUAAUUUUUUUUCCCUCCUUUUGUGUAACAUAGUGUAAAUUUAAAAUGGGUAAGUUAAAAGAUGCAAAUUCCUGGAAUUUUCCAGCUUCC